CAGAAUGUUGUAUACAUAAUAAAUAAAUACUGGUGCAAUCCAGUGGUGAGCUGAUAGUAAGCCCCAGCUUUAGGAAACAGGGUUGUUCUCCAUGUGGAUGACUCUGUGCCGAAAGCAUGGGGACAGCU